GACAGAGGGUGCAAACGUUGUUCGGAUUCAUUGGGCGUAAAGGGUGCGUAGGUGGCUUUUUAAGUCAGGGGUGAAAGACGGUAGCUUAACUAUCGCAGUGCCUUUGAUACUGAAGAGCUUGAAUGAACUAGAGGUAGGCGGAAUGUGACAAGUAGCGGUGAAAUGCAUAGAUAUGUCACAGAACACCAAUUGCGAAGGCAGCUUACUAUGGUUUUAUUGACACUGAGGUACGAAAGCGUGGGGAUCAAACAGG
rnacentral:rRNA from 1 species